rnacentral:misc_RNA from 1 species
AUUAACUACAAAAAUAACCACAUUUCGAGACAACCUGUCGGACAUCUAAACUAGUAAAAAACUCGAUAUUGGGUGUUAGUGAGCUAUCGCCAAUACGAUCGCACUGAAACAAAGCUUGUAAAAUGUUAAUAAGUACCAUAUACUUAUAUUUAAUUUACAGGAAUCGAAAAGGUUUGAAAAUUUCACUGAUCGAUUUAGAUCGUCCGAUGAUUAUCUUUUUUAUAUGGUGUCCAAUUAGAGCAGGAUUGGUCCCAUCUUGAAGAUUUUGACUCGCUGGGUUCAUUGGUAGCCUCAGAUUGGCUGGAAUCUAGCUAGAAAGAUUCGAAUCUACCCAUAUUCUCUCUCGUUGAUUUUCAUGAUUUUGGCAACAGUUUGCAACAUCGUUGGUUAGGAAGUAAAGCUCGUCUUACCAGGAGUCCAUAGCCGCUAGUCUUGCGUCAAACCGAUGUCGGAAUCACCUGGAACGGAUCAGAGAAGUUUUGGUGUUUUCUCUCUCCUCUACUUGCCAUUAGAGCUGCUGCCAUUGUCGAAA